CUUCUCCACGUUUAGUUUUCAAUCCAUCAUCGUCUCUGCAGGUGCGGAUGGUCCGGUAUGGUAUAAAUUCUAGUGGUCUACAGAUAUGAAGACCUUUGAAUUUUGAGCUGAUUUUUGGUGAGCAGCUUCCUUAUGGCCUUGUACCUCCGGGUCAUCAAGUUCUAUGUUACUGCCAUCAUCAAAUCAAUGGGAUUGAUCUCAAGUUCGCACAAUGUUGUUGGCACAACAUGGAGGUCAUUAUCAUCACGCUGAUGCUAUUUUUUAUCAUGUGUGGACUCUCACUAAUUUCAAAGGUAAUUAAGUAAAUGUUCAAGCAAAAUACUUAUGAAAUUGAGAUGAUUGAUCGUAAAUUUAAAAUUAUUAGGCUAAUAAAUUUUUCACGGAGCCUGCACUAAUUGGUGAGUACGCAACGUUCAUAUGCCUGCUAGCAAUUACAAAGUAAAAUAUUCACAAUGGGUUAAUCGACUAUUUGAUUAGCUUUCAGGCCAUCUAGCCUCAGUUAGCAUCUCUAGCUAGCUCUUCUCCACGUUUAGCUUUCAAUCCAUCAUCGUCUCUGCAGUAGCGAUACUGCUGGCCAGAAUUUUGGGAAUAGUAUGGCUCCAACAUCUACUCGCAAAGAUCUUUGGAACAGGUGACCAACAACACGACGAUGAAUCCGAGGCAACGACCACGCAUGGUGAUGAAUCCCACACGACGACCACGCAUGGUGAUGAAUCUCAGACGACGACCAUGUAUGGUGAUGAAUCCCAGACGAUGACCACGUAUGGUGAUGAAUCCUAGACGAUGACCACGUAUGGUGAUGAAUCCCAGACGAUGAACAUGUAUGACGCAGCGCGGUCCUCUUUGUAUUACACAGCGUCGUCCUCUUCGUUCUUCUACUCAGCCGAGCAGUCACCAACCAUUGAUAGUGAAACCGACCAACAACCACCUCGUCCUGCUGCCGCCGCCUUCAUUGUUCUCCCCUCGCACCAUAGAACUGCAAAUAUUCGAGGUACAAGAUAUCAGUACCUCUGGCAUGAAUGAAGAGGAGGACGACGAUGACUUUAUUAGAGAAUGGGAGAGUGAAUAAUUGGUCGAUAGUAACUAACAAUUUGUAAUUCGACAUUGGAGGCAUAUUAAUUGGGUCUAUGAUAUGGUGUAAUAUAGACGUGCCCUCGAACAUAUGUGUAUGUAUGACUUUUUCACUUUAUAUUCAAAUUUGAUGCAAAUGGGCAUAUUAGGUCAAUUCAAAAGUUUAUUCUAUGCAUACA